rnacentral:rRNA from 1 species
CCUACGGGAGGCAGCAGUAGGGAAUAUUGCUCAAUGGGGGAAACCCUGAAGCAGCAACGCCGCGUGGAGGAUGAAGGUUUUCGGAUUGUAAACUCCUUUUGUUAGAGAAGAUAAUGACGGUAUCUAACGAAUACUCACCGGCUAACUCCGUGCCAGCAGCCGCGGUAAUACGGAGGGUGCAAGCGUUACUCGGAAUCACUGGGCGUAAAGGGCGCGGAGGCGGGAUAGCAAGUCAGAUGUGAAAUCCUAUGGCUUAACCAUAGAACUGCAGUUGAAACUGUUAGUCUAGAGUGUGGGAGAGGUAGGUGGAAUUCUUGGUGUAGGAGUAAAAUCCGUAGAGAUCAAGAGGAAUACUCAUUGCGAAGGCGACCUGCUAGAACAUAACUGACGCUGAUGCGCGAAAGCGUGGGGAGCAAACAGGAUUAGAUACCCGUGUAGUC